rnacentral:lncRNA from 1 species
CUAUGAUUCAUAUCCCCAGAUAUUCUCUGGCAUUCUCACUAUAUAGUUUCCUUUUUUUUUUUUUUUUUUUUGUACUGUAUUGCUUUUUUUUUUUUUUUUCCCCCAGAAAGAGAAAAUCUUACUGGAGAAAACCAUGCCAAGCCUGAGAACAUUGAGUACCCAAGGCCAAGCUCAACAAGGGCAGAGAACUUUCCGGCAAGAAAUUAUCCCAUCUGUAACAAGGCCAGUCUCAUGGUCUACAGCUCACAAUUGGCAAGAAGAUAGCCUUGAUAAAAUCCUUGUUCUGGAGUUUGUUCAAAGUUCAUGGGAACAGCAUCACAAUGUAUUAUGCUUGCCAAAAUUGCUUACGUGGAAUUGAAUCACAAGGAAACAAUCAGAUUAACUCAGUAUAUGGUAUGUUCUACAAGACAGCUACCCUGGAUUCUUCAAAAAACUUGAAAAACAGCAAAACAAAAAGGUCCUGCAGGGCUGGAGGUAUGUAAAUUUAGAUUAAAAAGACUAAAUAUACAUGAUAACCGAAUGCAAUGUGUGAACCUUGAAUGAAUAUGGGGAGCCCUCCCUCUCAAAAAAAAAAAAGAAAAGAAAAAAGCUUAACUAUAAAACAUAUUAUGGGACAAUUAGGGAUAUUUGAUUGUGGACUAUGAAUUAUAUAUUAUUGAAUUUAUGAUAAAUUUCUUGGGUAUGACAAUGGUACUAUGGCUAUGUAGGAGAAUAUUCAUUUUUUUAGGCAAUACAGUGUAAAUAUUUAGGGGUGAGGUAUUAUCAUUUCUGCAGCUUCCUUUCAAAUGGUUCAGUAAAAAGUAUGUAAAUGAGUACAUCUAUAAGUAUAUAGGUGUAUAAAAAGAAAUAAAAUAUUCUUUGGAAUAUUUAGAACAUGGAAAAAGCUGAUAAUGGUUUAACUUCUGUGAGAGGUUCAUAGGUAUUCAUUAAACUGUUCUUCCAACUUUUCUAAAGGUUAGACAACUUUCAAAAUAAAAAAUUGAGGGGGAAAAAGUUUGUGGAAGAAAACCAGCUAGCCAAUCUGCAUGUUUUCUUCCAGUGAGUGUUCAGGGAGGAGCCCUCAGUUCAACCUCAUGGACACUGGUGCUUUUAUCCUUUCAGAGACUAAGGGCUCACAUGAUAUACUUAAGCCUAUGGCCAAUUCUCACUUGGGAAAUCCUUGGUUCUUUAUAAUUUUGCAGCUGAAAAUCUGGAGUAGGAGAUAGAUGUGAAGAGAGGGCUUGUUCAAAAAAAGGAAGCUAUAAAACAAACAUGCAUUUGAGAGGGCAACCAUUAAAAAAUCCUAAGGAAGUAAAAUCCUUUGAGUUUUUAGCAGGCAUGUGGCAUCUGCGUAUAUGAAGUAGGACUCUUGUCUGCUUAGGUGAUGAAGAAUAAGAAUUCCAGGGUAAAAUAAUUCAGGAAUUUUCACCUGGAAUUUCUGGGAGAAAUCAAUAUAACUAGGAGAAGGAAUUUCUUUUUAAGAAUGGAUUUAUUAAGGACAGAUGGGUCCUGGGGUCAUUCUUCUUAGAGCUUAAUUGCCAUGUUCUGAAACAGCUUGAGAUCUUAAUGACUUGACUCCUUCGUAUCUCCUGGUGUCAAAUUUAAAACCAACCACACAAAACAUUGGGGGCAAAAUGUAGUCCAGUAAACAAACUUAUUAAUAGAAAUGAAAUUCCACAGAGAACACAGACGCACACAAGUCAGGGGGAUAUUAAAUUCCUGUGAUAAGUUAACAUGGAUUAAGCAAAACUUUUUAUAGUGCAUGUUCUUAGUAUCAAAUUGUGAAGCACAGCAACAUCUGAUAAUAUAAUUAUACUAUUUAUAU